rnacentral:tRNA from 1 species
GCUGGGGUGGUGGCUCAGUGGUAGAACACUUGCCUAGCAGGCAUGAGGCACUGGGUUUAUCCUCAGCACCACAUAUAAAUAAAUAAAAUAUUAAUAUUAAAAUAUUAAAAAUAUAUUAAUAUUAAUUUUUUUUUUAAAAAAAGAUGCUCUCAAGAGCCGGAUUUGGUGGCACACACCUGUAAUCCCAGUGACUUGGGAGGCUAAGGCAAGAGGAUCCUGAGUUCAAAACCAGUCUCAGCA